CGGUUCCAGGAGGAAACCUCGCAGUCCUGGGCUGCGAACUGGCCCUUCUGUGCAGAAGGCGAGGCUGAAUGCACCGCGGAAGAUGCCCAGUUUGCUCAGAACCUCUCUGAGCUCCCUCCUCCUCCCUGCCACCCCCGUCUGGGCUUCUCCAGAGAUGGGGUUUCAAUAAGACUAACGCUACUAUUUAAAGCUGUCUGACUUAAAAACAAUCUAACAGGUGAUGAGGAGCCUUGUGCGUAGGCUGGAAUGAGCCCUCAGCUUUACCCAAUGAAACAAAAGACAAAGAACCUGACAAGGAACCCAAAGCAGAUUGGAAUUUCAAGACUGGAUUUUAUAUCAUGUCUUCUCCUUGCCUUCUGUCACCACCAGACCUCAUCACAUAUAGACUCAGCAAAUCUGUUGCUCUCUGGAAUAUGGGCAAAUAUAAGAUGAUGACCCCAUGUAGGAUGGUCUUUCACUUCUUAAUAGUUAGGUCAACUUAAUUAUGAAAAUAAAUAUAGAUGGCCACAUG